rnacentral:lncRNA from 1 species
AGCUAAGCCAGACAGAAGAGCCCCAUCCUGCUCACAGCCCACCUCUCCCCUUCACUGCAGAGUCGCUGGAGCCGGUGUCCUGGAGGGAGGGCCCCAGUGGGCACAGCACACUGCCUCGGUCUCCCCGAGAUGCCCCAUGCAGUGCUUCGUCAGAGUUGUCUGGUCCCUCCACGCCCCUGCACACCAGCAGUCCAGUCCAGGGCAAGGAAAGCACCCGGCGACAGGACACCAGGUCCCCCACCUCAGCGCCCACUCAGAGACUGAGUCCUGGCGAGGCCUUGCCCCCUGUUUCCCAGGCAGGCACCGGAAAGGCCCCUGAGCUGCCGUCGGGAAGUGGGCCUGAGCCUCUGGCCCCUAGCCCAGUCUCUCCGACCUUCCCUCCCAGCUCGCCCAGUGACUGGCCUCAGGAAAGGAGUCCAGGGGGCCACUCAGAUGGCGCCAGUCCUCGGAGCCCUGUGCCCACCACACUUCCUGGCCUCCGCCACGCCCCCUGGCAAGGCCCUCGAGGCCCCCCCGACAGCCCAG